AAUGAACGCUGGCGGCGUGCUUAACACAUGCAAGUCGCACGAGAACUCUUUAGCUUGCUAAAGAUAGUAAAGUGGCGCACGGGUGAGUAACACGUGGGUAAUCUACCUCUGAAUCGGGGAUAACAUUGCGAAAGCGAUGCUAAUACCGGAUAAUAUCUUUUAAGCUUAAGCUUGUCAGAUCAAAGGUGGCCUCUACAUGUAAGCUACUGUUUGGAGAUGGGCCCGCGCACCAUUAGCUUGUUGGUGGGGUAAUGGCCCACCAAGGCAUCGAUGGUUAGCUGGUCUGAGAGGAUGAUCAGCCACACUGGAACUGACACACGGUCCAGACUCCUACGGGAGGCAGCAGUGAGGAAUUUUGCGCAAUGGGGGAAACCCUGACGCAGCAACGCCGCGUGAGUGAUGAAGGCCUUCGGGUCGUAAAGCUCUGUCAAGUGGGAAGAACCUGCUUUAUGCUAAUACCAUAUUGCACUGACGGUACCACUGAAGGAAGCACCGGCUAACUCCGUGCCAGCAGCCGCGGUAAUACGGAGGGUGUGUGCGUUAUUCGGAAUUAUUGGGCGUAAAGAGCGCGUAGGCGGUUUUUUAAGUCAGGUGUGAAAGCCCGAGGCUUAACCUCGGAAGUGCAUUUGAAACUAAGAGACUUGAGUAUGGGAGAGGGAAGUGGAAUUCCUGGUGUAGAGGUGAAAUUCGUAGAUAUCAGGAGGAACACCGGUGGCGAAGGCGACUUCCUGGACCAAUACUGACGCUGAGGCGCGAAGGCGUGGGGAGCAAACAGGAUUAGAUACCCUGGUAGUCCACGCAGUAAACGGUGAACACUAGGUAUAGCGGGUAUUGACCCCUGCUGUGCCGGAGCUAACGCAUUAAGUGUUCCGCCUGGGGAGUACGACCGCAAGGUUAAAACUCAAAGGGAUUGACGG
rnacentral:rRNA from 1 species